rnacentral:ncRNA from 2 species
AAUUUAUAGAGAAUAGGUAAGAGAGUAGGCUCUGCGAUCCUAUGGCAACCUGAAGAGUUUCAUAAACUGACAAGGUGCUUCAACCUACCCAAGAUCAAAGGGAAUUAUAAAUU